rnacentral:lncRNA from 1 species
AUUUAAUAAUGUAAAUGACCAGAAAAUAAAAUUUUUAAUUGUCGGCACUUGGCAGGGGGCCAUUUUCAUAAUAACCUUUGUUUGGGUUAAAACUGAACUUUAGGCCCAAAGGUGGAGUCGGCCCAACAGAAGGUCCGGAUGAAACCUAGGGAGCAGGAAAAGGGCCACUUGCUUACCUACCCAAGGACCAAGUGGUGUAGACUGAUCAGACUGCACAGCCCAUAAAGUACUUUAUGGUGGCAUUACAUGUAAUAAAGCUGAUGAGUCAUCACCCUUAGACCGCAUUCGGGCAAAGCUGUCGCUACAGGAGCCAAACUGAGUUGUCUAUAAAAGGAGGAAGAGAAGACAGGAUUAAGGACACUCAAACAAACAAGCAAAAGCACAAACUCUGCUCAAAAAGCCAGAUUUGCCUUUCAAAACGAAGCUGUAGUCAGCCCAAGCCUUCAUCCCCCUCGGGAUAAUCUUUUCUCCUAAACAUUGUAAUAGCUCUGCUACCUUGUUCUAACUUGUUGUAGUAUCGAUUCACCCUUUUGUAUUCUCCUUUCCCUUCUCCACAUCUAAGCUUUCAGACCUUUGACAGAACCACAAAGACAGGGACCUGCAAGACGAUCAGCCUUAAUUGAUAAGGUUUAAUCUUGCCCGACCUGCUUUGCUCUGUCUUUGUCUUCUCUUUCUUUAAAGUCUAGCAAUAUGUUGUAUAUUUUUAGUUAUAUGCAAGUUGUUUCUAGCAAAAUCACGAUGACAAAGCUUUCUCAAUACUUGGAUCCGAUUUAAAUAUAUCUUCAAUGCUUAAAUCAGAUCUAAGUCCUAAGCCCGCAGGCUAUGAAUCUGAUUAGUUUAAAAGUCCUUGGCCUCAAGGCAUAAAAAAGAACUUUAUGUGGACUUAACUCAUCCACGACAAUCCUUGAUAAACGAGAAGUCCAAAGUUACUUGGGGCGCAAGUAAUCGACCUACCUUCUAGUUUUCUUUCUAUUAUAUCAUGAUUAUCAUAGAACGCUUAAGCAUAGGAUGGACUCUAAUGGGAAGCCUCAAGGCCUACACCUAAGGCCUCACAAAGGCAUCCAUUUGGAUUCAUCCCAUUCAACGAUCUCAAGAGUCUAAGUAAAGAAUGAACUCUGAUGGGAAGCCUCAAGGCCUACACCUAAGGCCCCACAAAGGCACCCAUUUGGGUUCGUUCUAUUCCUUGGAUUCGGGUAAUCAGAAAUAUAAUAGUUAGAAAACUCCUACAAUCACGAGAAUAAAUAUGAUGCGUUCGAGCACUGGUUUAGUUAUUGAUGGGAAGCCUCAAGGCCUACAGUUAAGGCCCCACAAAGGCACCUAUUAUAACUAACACGGUUUCUUGGAUACAUACAUAUAUACAAUGAAAGAACGACAACCAUUUUACAUCUGGCAUGCUAAAAAUGGCAGUGGCACGCCUGAGCACCUAAAUGUUAACCUUGAUUGUGAGCCUCAAGGCCUAUACCUAAGGCCCCACAAAGGCACCUCUCAAAGUUAACGCUGUCCUUCUCUUUCAGCCUUGCCCGAAGAGUCUUGCCCGACGAGACUUGCCCGACAACGCCCAGAAACGAAGCAGAAGCCCGACAGCAGCCCUCAACCGGCGCCAACCUCCAGGGGAGCUGUGUGCUCGUCGGCCAAGAAACAUCCCCAACGGAAAUUCCUGCCACGAACAUAGUUUUGGCACGCCCGGUGGGAUUUCUAAUCAGAAGAUAGAGAAACAGAUAUGCCAGAAGACUUGCAGACCACGUUAUUUCAAAUGUUGCAACGCUUGGAGAAAGCCUCCACGGGCUCUAGAAGUGAUAUUGAUGUGGUUCCUCCCAAAGGAAAAAGAUGUAAAAACAACCAGCCAGACGGGAUGGACGUAAUCAACCCUGCAUUUCCCUUUUCGGAGGCCCCUAUAAAAUAUGCUCAAUAUGACAUGGGCGGAGAAAGGAAAAGGGAAGAUUACAAGGGAAGAAGAAGAAAGACUGGCCAAAAAACCUACAGAGAGAAUAGACAAACUACCCGAGUAUCCAAAGGCUGCCAUAAUCAAGGGGAUGGUUAUGUGCAGUAAGUGCCAGUGUGAGUGUGAGCUCGAGAUUCCUUCGGCUGGAGUCCUCAUUGAUCACGAGUUAAUCAGGAGGAAGGAAGAAGAUGCAAGAAGAGAAGCUCGCGAGAAGAAUAAGCAACCAACAAGGAAGGACACCUCCCGAAGUGUUUUUCAACGCUUAGGAGGUGAUUCCCAACCCAAGGCUUUGUCAGAAGUGUUUCGAAACCAUGAAGCUUCUGACGAGGCAGAAAAAAUGGAGGCCACAAUCCAAAGAGGUGCAGAUCAUCCUCAGAAUGGCCAGAUGAGGAGGGAAGUCAAGAGAACUGAUGGGAUAGCUAAUCCCGACAGAAAAGGGAAUCCUGCCCACCUCGGGCGAAAAUGGUAUGUAGUCGGGAAGAACGGACAGCCUACCAAACCAAUGGGAGCCUCUAUGAUCAGAAGGGUUCAAAGGUAGCACAAGGCCUACAUGAAUUCCUUAAAGACCCCCACUACCUCUGAAACCUCAAAAACUCAAAAGUUGGAAAAAACAACAUCUGGAGGUAGUAGCCAGCUCCGUUGGCGAAAUAAGAAGGAGGUAGAGAAAGCCAACAGCAAAGCAGAGGAGAUGGGGGAUCAUGUGCCGCCGAACCAACAUUCGGGGAAGUAUAGGAUCUUGAGAAGAGCCCAAGAAGAUCUGAUCAUGGUACCAACUCCUGGAUGGAAGCCGGAGCCUAUUCGCAUGGGAACUGUUGUGAAACCACUUUCUCUGCCAUUGGUGGAUCCCUUCGGUGAAGUUCCAAAACAAACGUUGUACGAGGGCAUGGAUCAACCACAACAGGAGGGGAUACCAGAACCUCUGCUUCCAGCCGAUGCGAUGGCCUGGUUAGAUGAGUUCAUGGACCAAAUUGGCAGCAAGAAGGAGGAUGUACUUGAGCCCAGUAAUUUCCACAUCAACAUGGCGUAUACAUUAUCCGCCAUGUUUGGUGCCAGACCUGAUCAACCUGCUACUAUGGAGGGUGAUUACUUAACAACAGAGUCAAUGAUGGCACAAAUCAAUGUAGAUAUAGCAGAAGAAGAAGACUCGGGCAGGGCUGAGCCCUCAGAAGCAUCCAAAGGUGGUCCUCUAAGGAUUUACACAGAUGAGAUGGUGCUCAGCCGCCCGAGUAUUUCAUUGGCCAACCAUCUGAAGCCUAUAUAUGUUUCAGCUCACCUAGAGGGUGUGCCCUUCAAAAGAAUUUUGAUUGAUGGAGGAGCAGCUGUUAACGUGUUACCGGCCAAGCAGAUGAGAAAGAUGGGGAGAGGUACGGAAGAUCUUGUUCCCACGGACCUUACGGUAUCUAGCUUCUCAGGUGCUGUCACUAAGACUCACGGGAUAUUACCUUUGGAGGUGGACUUGGGAUCCAAAAAGAUAAUGCUGGCAUUCUUUGUGGUGGACUGCACCUCCACUUACAGAGCCUUGCUCGGAAGAGAUUUGAUCCAUCAAAGUUUAGCUAUACCUUCCACUCUUCAUCAACAAGUGGCUAUAUAUCAUGAGGCGGGUGUUGAAUGACCAGGCUUUUGGGAAAUAGUAGAGGCCGAAACACGGCCGUUCCUCCCCUCAGCCAAUGUUGCGGAAGCAAGUUUCUACAAUCCCAACGUAGGAAUCUUGAGACGUUCAGGAGCUGAUAAGAGCGGCCGCCCUACCAAGGUGACGGCCCAAAAGCUUUUGGAACAAGGAAUGCUCCUUACUAAGGAGGAGUGGGAUAGACCCUGUCUCAUACCAAAUCCCCUACACCAUCAAUGACUGAACAAAAGAAGAAAGAUCAGGUCAUGGCAGUCAGAUCCCUGAUUAAAAGACUGUUGGUAUAUAGGAAGGGAAGAAGACAAGAGAAGGAGCAGGAGGAGCAAGAAUGGCAGGAAGAAGCUUCGACCAGCCAGCAUGGAAAUGAAGAGGAAUCUUGCAGUAAAGAACUGGAUAAGGCCAUUCAAAUGGCCGAGUGCAUAUAUGACCUAGAUGGGCCAGAUGACUUGCCCGAGAGCCCAGAGUUGGUCGAAUUUUUAUGUGCAGAACCUGAUAAGCCAUCACCCAAAGUUCAGGAUCCUUUGGAAGUUAUUGAUCUAGGCACAGAGGAGGAUCCAAGACCAAUACAGAUCAGUGGCUUAUUAGGGGCCGAGGAUCGGGCUAGGAUUAUUUGUCUUUUGCAAGAAUUCAAAGACUGUUUUGCUUGGCAUUAUACCGAGAUGUCAGGGUUAGAUCCAACCUUGGUGGAACAUAGAAUGCCCAUCAAGGAAGGAUAUAAACCGGUCAAGUAAGCACCACGGAGGAUGUCAAAGGAAAUAGAAGAAAAGGUCAAAGAAGAGAUUGAAAGGCUAGUGAAAGCUGGCUUUAUCAGACCGGCCAAAUAUGUGGAGUGGUUGGCCAACAUCGUACCCGUUUUAAAAGCUGUAACAAAAGCAGUACGAUGUUGUGUUGAUUACAGAAAUAUUAAUGGCGCUACACCAAAAGAUGAGUACCCCAUGCCUAUGUCUGAUUUAUCCAUAGAUGCAGUAGCAAAGCAUAAAGUUUUAUCUUUUAUGGAUGGAAAUGCCGGAUAUAACCAGAUAAAGAUGGCUCCAAAUGACAUUCAUAAAACAGCUUUUAGGUGCCCUGGUCAUGUGGGGGUAUAUGAGUAUCUGGUCAUGCCAUUCGGGCUCAAGAAUGCUGGCGCAACAUAUCAAAGGGCAAUGAAUGCCAUUUUUCAUGAUCUAAUUGGCCAGAGCAUUGAGGUAUAUAUCGACGACAUCGUGGUGAAAUCUAAAACAGAAGAACAUCAUCUAGUAGAUCUCAGGCAAGCAUUGAUAAGGAUGCGGAUCCACAAAUUGAAGAUGAAUCCAAAGAAGUGCGCAUUUGGAGUAAGAGCGGGCAACUUCUUAGGAUUCUUGGUGCAUCAGAGAGGUGUGGAAGUGGACAAGAACAAAUCUUGGGCAAUAUUGGAGUCACCUCCACCCACCAACAAAGUGCAGCUUCAAAGGCUACUAGGCAAGAUCAACUUCUUGAGGAGAUUCAUUGCCAAUUUAGCGGGCAAAAUCCAGCCGCUGACUCCUUUACUAAGAUUGAAAGAUAAAGAGAAUUUCGAGUCGGGGCCGACCCACCAACAGGCACUUGACAGCAUCAAGGCCUACCUAACUUCUCCACCAGUGCUGGUACCACCUCAAAGGGGAAAGCCCUUGAAGCUGUAUAUUUCUGCUUCGGAAAAAUCAAUUGGGAGUUUGUUAGCUCAAAAUAAUGAAGGUGGAAAGGAGCAGGCCGUAUACUACCUCAUCAGAAUUUUAACCGAGGUAGAAACAAGAUAUUCUCCGGUGGAGAGAUUGUGUUUGGCUCUAUAUUUUACUGCCAACAAACUAAGACAUUAUAUGUUACCUUGUCACGUACACAUCAUUGCCAAAACAUAUGUGAUAAAGUACAUGUUGUCGAAGCCUAUGCUAGCAGGAAGGAUUGGGAAGUGGAUUCUAGCACUGUUAGAAUUCAGCUUUCAGUAUGUACCUCAACGGGCAGUCAAAGGCCAGGCAAUUGCUGAUUUCUUGACCGAGCAUCAGGAACCUCAAAGUGAGGUAAUCAAUAUCCCAGGAAGUUUGGAGGUUACUAGCGUUUGGAUCCCACCAAGAAGUGAUGUUUCGGGCAAAGAAGAUUGGAUCCAGCAAGAGAUAAGAAGAGUAACAGGCCUCUGGAUUACUCCUUGGAAGCUGUAUUUCGAUGGAUCCCACACCCAGAAGGCUGCAGGGGCUGGGAUUGUGAUUAUAAAUCCUCAGGGGGUUUAUCAUUAUUACUCAUUCCUGCUCGAUUACCAGGAGAAUACUAAUAAUCGGGCAGAGUAUGAGGCAUUGAUUAUUGGUCUAGAAAUCCUGUUGGAUUUGGGGGCAGCAGAAGUAGAAGUCUUUGGUGAUUCAGAGUUGGUAAUAAACCAGCUAAAUGGCGAGUUCAAGUGCAGACAUAUCACUAUGGCGGGGUACUAUAUGGCAGCAACACAAUUGUUAAGUUUCUGGGAAUCUGAGAUAUCGGUCAAUCAUAUUCCUAGGAGAUCUAACUUGGCAGCCAAUGAAAUGGCGCAACUAGCCUCAGGACUGCCAAUACAGGAGAGGAAGUAUGGAAUAGAUGUCAAGAUUCAAACAAGAAACCUUCCUUCCAUCUUAGAUCGGGGAUUUAGUUUGGAUGUAAUGGUUCUAGAAGCCAAGAUGGAAGAUUGGAGGGCACCCAUCAUUCAUCAUUUAAAGGAUCCCUCUUCACCUACAAGUAAGAAGAAUAGGCAGCAGGCAACCAAAUAUGUCUUAUGGGCGAAGAACCUGCUAAGAAAAACCCCAGAUGGAUUACUGCUAAAAUGCUUAGGUCAGGAAGAAUCCAUGAGAGUGAUGGCCGAAGUACAUGAGGGAAUAUGUGGAGCACAUCAAGCAGGGACAAAGAUGAGAUGGCUACUCAGAAGGUACGGUUAUUUCUGGCCCGACAUGGAAAAAGACUGCAAGUCUUAUGCCCACGGUUGUGAAGAAUGUCAGAGGCAUGGACCUCUCCAACACAUGCCUUCAGUACCUUUAAAUCCCGUGGUCAAGCCUUGGCCGUUCCGAGGAUGGGCGAUGGACUUCAUCGGGCAAAUUUAUCCAGCUUCCAGUAAAGGGCAUACUUUUAUAAUUGUAGCAACGGAUUACUUCACCAAGUGGGUAGAAGCAUCAGCAGUAAAAUCCAUAACUUCCACCGUAGUCAAGGAUUUUAUCGAGACCAAGAUCCUUCACAGAUAUGGGGUGCCCGAGACUAUAGUGACAGACCGUGGGCCAUCUUUUAUUUCAAAAUAAGUCGAGGAGUUUGCAAACAAGUACAAGAUAAAGAUGAUCCAAUCCAGUCCGUACUACCCUCAGUCAAAUGGGCAGGCCGAAGCUAGCAACAAGAUCUUGGUCAACAUUAUUAAAAGAAUGGUGAUAGAUAGUCCAGAAAAGUGGCAUGAGAUGUUGGGGAACACGUUGUGGGCAUACAGGACUUCCAAAAGAACAGGGACAGGUACGACUCCUUUUGCCUUGACGUUCGGGCAAGAUGCAGUGCUCCCCAUGGAGAUCAACGUUAGUUCCGUAAGAAUUCAAAACCAAUUUGGGUUACAUAGUGCAGAAUAUAUCGAAGCCAUGUGUCAAGGUAUUGAAGACCUGGAUGCAGCCCGAAUUGAAGCCUUGAACCAGAUUCAAGAAGGAAAGAGAGCUGUUGCCCGAGCUUAUAACAAGAAGGUGAAGGUAAAGUCUUUCAAAGAGGGAGAUUUAGUAUGGAAAACAGUCCUCCCGCUGGGAGCUCAGCUUCGGAGUUUUGGAAAGUGGAGCCCGACAUGGGAAGGUCCUUUCAUUAUUAGUUGAGUCUUGAAUAAAGGAGGAUACUACCUAGCGGACCUCGAAGGAAAUGGGCAGAAACAUCCCAUUAAUGUUAGAUUCUUAAAGAAAUAUUGUCCUACAUUAUGGGAUGUCAGGGAUUGUUACAUUGAAGAGGGGGCAGAGUGAAGCGAGCUUCGGGAAUCUCAUAUGCAGUGUUUUGUGUUCAUCAAACAUUCAAAGAAGGCAGAAAGACAGAAAUUGCUAAAAUAGUAUUUGUUUCAUGUCGAAAAAUUGAUGAAAUUUACAGAGUUCCAAUCCUAUGUAUUACAUUUGAUUCUCUCUGAGUAUGGUGGUGUCUUCAGCUAAUUGCCCGACGUCUUCAUGGAUGGAACCCAAUCGGGUGAUCGGGUUGUGCGGCCAACAUGGGCCUGGUAGAGGAUCCUCCGACGAGGCUGUCACCAUAUGUGAUGGUGAAGCCCAACUUAUCACCGCAACUUGCGGGAAGGCAAACCACCAGGAGGAAGCCACCCGACCAGGGGUGUUGGAGAUAGAGGGGCGGUCGACCAAGGGUGUUGGAGAUAGCAAUCAUCAGGUGAAACCUCAUUUUCUCACGAAAGGGGAGUUUUAGGAAACUCCACUCAAAACCUAAGGAACCCAUUUCUCAGUUGCUAAGAGGAAACAAGAACGCUCAAAAGGGAUGGAAGUUGAAGGCCAGAGCCAAAGGGAAGUUGGUAGUUUGAUUGGAGAAGUCCCGAGCUAAAUUUUAUAGGGCUCAAGGGACAGUUCAAGGGUCGUGAGAAGAGCAAGGGGCACCGGAAGCACCAAUUCCCAAAGACGGAUAUGCAUGCAUGCGGGUAUUCAAUCAAUGUCGACGCUUGGGAUUCCAACCUUCACAUUAAUUGAAGGGGGCACUGUUUGGGUUAAAACUGAACUUUAGGCCCAAAGGUGGAGUCGGCCCAACAGAAGGUCCGGAUGAAACCUAGGGAGCAGGAAAAGGGCCAUUUGCUUACCUACCCAAGGACCAAGUGGUGUAGACUGAUCAGACUGCACAGCCCAUAAAGUACUUUAUGGUGGCAUUACAUGUAAUAAAGCUGAUGAGUCAUCACCCUUAGACCGCAUUCGGGCAAAGCUGUCGCUAUAGGAGCCAAACCGAGUUGUCUAUAAAAGGAGGAAGAGAAGACAGGAUUAAGGACACUCAAACAAACAAACAAAAGCACAAACUCUGCUCAAAAAGCCAGAUUUGCCUUUCAAAACGAAGCUGUAGUCAGCCCAAGCCUUCAUCCCCCUCGGGAUAAUCUUUUCUCCUAAACGUUGUAAUAGCUCUGCUACCUUGUUCUAACUUGUUGUAGUAUCGAUUCACCCUUUUGUAUUCUCCUUUCCCCUCUCCACCUCUAAGCUUUCAGACCUUUGACAGAACCACAAAGACAGGGACCUGCAAGACGAUCAGCCUUAAUUGAUAAGGUAUAAUCUUGCCCGACCUGCUUUGCUCUGUCUUUGUCUUCUCUUUCUUUAAAGUCUAGCAAUAUGUUGUAUAUUUUUAGUUAUAUGCAAGUUGUUUCUAGCAAAAUCAUGAUGACAAAGCUUUCUCAAUACUUGGAUCCGAUUUAAAUAUAUCUUCAAUGCUUAAAUCAGAUCUAAGUCCUAAGCCCGCAGGCUAUGAAUCUGAUUAGUUUAAAAGUCCUUGGCCUCAAGGCAUAAAAAAGAACUUUAUGUGGACUUAACCCAUCCACGACAAUCCUUGAUAAACGAGAAGUCCGAAGUUACUUGGGGCGCAAAUAAUCGACCUACCUUCUAGUUUUCUUUCUAUUAUAUCAUGAUUAUCAUAGAACGCUUAAGCAUGGGAUGGACUCUAAUGGGAAGCCUCAAGGCCUACACCUAAGGCCUCACAAAGGCAUCCAUUUGGAUUCAUCCCAUUCAGCGAUCUCAAGAGUUUAAGUAAAGAAUGAACUCUGAUGGGAAGCCUCAAGGCCUACACCUAAGGCCCCACAAAGGCACCCAUUUGGGUUCGUUCUAUUCCUUGGAUUCGGGUAAUCAGAAAUAUAAUAGUUAGAAAACUUCUACAAUCACGAGAAUAAAUAUGAUGCGUUCGAGCACUGGUUUAGUUAUUGAUGGGAAGCCUCAAGGCCUAUAGUUAAGGCCCCACAAAGGCACCUAUUAUAACUAACACGGUUUCUUGGAUACAUACAUAUAUACAAUGAAAGAACGACAACCAUUUUACAUAUGGCAUGCUAAAAAUGGCAGUGGCACGCCUGAGCACCUAAAUGUUAACCUUGAUUGAGCCUCAAGGCCUAUACCUAAGGCCCCACAAAGGCACCUCUCAAAGUUAACGCUGUCCUUCUCUUUCAGCCUUGCCUAAAGAGCCUUGCCCGAAGAGUCUUGCCCGACGAGACCUGCCCGACGAGACUUGCCCGACAACGCCCAGAAACGAAGCAGAAGCCCGAUAGCAGCCCUUAACCGGCACCAACCUCCAGGGGAGCUGUGUGCUCGUCGGCCAGGAAACAUCCCCAACGGAAAUUCCUGCCACGAACAACCUUCAUCUUCAUACCAAUGCCCUGAAGGCUCCCAGACCCCAUCCCCGCCGCCACCGCCUCCCUUUGCUCCUAGUCCUGCAAUUUAACGUUCUUUAGAACCUCCUCUAAUUCCGUGCUAAAAAACUCUGCUCGCCGUCCCCCUCCUCCUCCUCGCCCCCCGACGGAUCCGAAUUCUGAUUUUUAAAAUCUAAACCCAGUGGUGGCGCCGAGGCUAGGCCGCUUAUCAUCGUUUUGUUGCUAUGGAUUGUCGUCAACCUCCUGGGUAGAGACGAAACUGACGGGCUUGGUGAGGUCGACCUUUCGGUCUUCCCUGCGUUUUUUUGGAGUCGUCGUUGUCAUCGUCGUCGUCGGAAUCGGCAGUGAACUUAGUCCCUGACUUGUCGGGACAACUCAGCCCCUGACUCGGCCGAACCAGGCGGAAGAGCCGUUCGAGGAGUCAUAUACGAUAUGAAUGGGGAUAAAGGUAGGCCUGGCAUUUUGGACCCAACCCGUUAAUCCGAUCCGACCCAAUCCGUUAAUAUUUGUAUUUGGAUGGAUGCUUAACGGGUCGGGUCGCUAACGGGUGAACCCGUUAACAACCCGUUAAAUAACGGGUCACUUUGAUCAACCCGUUAGACCCGUUAGGACCCAUUAACACCUGUUAGCACCCGUUAGUUGAUGAUAUUUUAGUAAUUUUAGUAAAGUCUUAAUAAUAAAAAAUAAACUUUAUGCAAAAAAAUAAUAAUAAUAAUUGUUAACGGGUGAAACGGGUGAUCCGUUAGCUUAACGAGUCGGGUUCAGGUGACCC